UAUAGCUUGGUGUAAUUAGCAUUUCACGCUUUGGUUGUGAGGGUAAUUUGAUGUUAGCUGUAG
rnacentral:tRNA from 1 species